GACGAACGCUGGCGGCGUGCUUAACACAUGCAAGUCGAACGGAAAGGCCCUGCUUUUGUGGGGUGCUCGAGUGGCGAACGGGUGAGUAACACGUGAGUAACCUGACCUUGACUUUGGGAUAACUUCAGGAAACUGGGGCUAAUACCGGAUAGGAGCUCCUGCUGCAUGGUGGGGGUUGGAAAGUUUCGGCGGUUGGGGAUGGACUGGCGGCUUAUCAGCUUGUUGGUGGGGUAGUGGCUUACCAAGGCUUGGACGGGUAGCCGGCCUGAGAGGGUGACCGGCCACAUUGGGACUGAGAUACGGCGCAGACGCCUACGGGAGGCAGCAGUGGGGAAUAUUGCACAAUGGGCGGAAGCCUGAUGCAGCAACGCCGCGUGCGGGAUGACGGCCUUCGGGUUGUAAACCGCUUUCGCCUGUGACGAAGCGUGAGUGACGGUAAUGGGUAAAGAAGCACCGGCUAACUACGUG
rnacentral:rRNA from 1 species